GUCUCAGUGGUGUAAGGGAUAAGAGCACGGUCCUCUGAAUGGACAAGUACGGGUUCGAGUCCCGUCCGAGACU
rnacentral:tRNA from 1 species